CACUGAACACAAUUUAUACGUCAUAAGAGACAUUGCAAAUGGGUUGAAAGUUCAGACAUGGAAGCCAUGGAUUCACCUUCUUCUUUACACAUAGCAAUGUUUCCAUGGUUUGCAAUGGGUCACCUAACUCCAUAUCUUCACCUCUCAAACAAAUUAGCCAAAAGAGGACACAGAAUCUCUUUCUUCAUUCCCAAGAAAACACAAACCAAGUUAGAACAAUUCAACCUUUACCCAAAUCUAAUCACAUUUUACCCUCUAAAUGUUCCACACAUUCAAGGCCUACCCUUUGGUGCUGAAACAACUUCAGAUGUUUCUUUCUCUUUAGGUCCACUCAUCAUGACAGCUAUGGAUCAAACACAGCCCCAAAUUGAACUUCUCCUCACUCAACUAAACCCUAAAAUUGUUUUCUUUGAUUUCACCUUUUGGCUUCCGAAAAUUGCUCAAAAUUUAGGAAUCAAAUCAUUUCUAUACUUAAUUGUUAAUCCAGCAACAGUUUCAUACGUUGCAUCUCCAUCAAGGAUGUAUAAAGGUGCAAAUUUGACUGAAUUUGAUCUUAUGAAUCCCCCAAAAGGGUACCCUACUUCAUCAUUUAAUCUCUAUUCUCAUGAAGCAAAGUACAUUGCUUUAAAAAGAAAUCUUGAAUUUGGAAGUGGGAUACUUUUCUAUGAUAGGCUUUUUAAUGGUUUGAGGUUAAGUGAUGCAAUUGGGUUCAAAGGGUGUAGAGAAAUUGAAGGGCCUUAUGUUGAUUACUUAGAACAAGAGUUUGGUAAAUCUGUUAUUCUUUCAGGACCUGUUUUACCUGAAAAACCGAAAACUGUUUUAGAUGAAAAGUGGGCUUCUUGGCUUAGUGGAUUUGAGGAUGGUUCUAUAGUUUAUUGUGCACUUGGAAGUGAAUGGAAGUUGUCAGAAGUUCAGUUUCAUGAAUUAUUGUUAGGACUUGAAUUAGCAGGUUUUCCAUUUUUGGCAAUUGUUAAACCUCCUAUCGGUUUUGAGACGAUCGAAGAUGCUUUGCCAGAAGGGUUUAAAGAAAGGGUUAAGGAAAAAGGGAUUGUUCAUAGUGGAUGGAUCCAGCAACAGUUGAUUUUGGAACAUCCGUCGGUUGGUUGUUUUGUUACUCAUUGUGGAGCCGGUUCGUUGACGGAAGGGUUGAUAAAUAAUUGUCAGAUAGUGUUGAUGCCACAUUUAGAUAGUGAUCAUAUCAUUAAUGCAAAGAUUAUGGGAAGGGAGUUGAAGGUUGGAGUUGAAGUGAAGAAGGGUGAAGAAGAUGGAUUGUUCACAAAGGAAAGUAUUUGUGAGGCUGUGAAAAUUGUAAUGGAUGAUGAGAAUGAGACUGGUAGAGAUGUUAGGACUAAUCAUGAAAAAUUGAGGAACCUCUUAUUGAGCCAUGAUUUGGAGUCAUCUUGUGUUGAUGGUUUUUGUGAAAAGCUUCAGGAAUUAGUCAGUUCUGCCAUAAAGUGUUUCCAGCCACCUCCCGAUUGCAGUUGCCGGGGAUCGAACCGUGGUUCUCCCUACCAAGUUAAGCGUCAAUCACCAUUGAACCAACUAACGAUUGGUCACAAAAUUAUUUUGUUCUGAGUGCCGGAAACAUGAAACAACACUCCUCAAUCCUCACCUCAAUCCACACACGAUGGAGACACAACCUUGGAGUGCCGGAUGCCGGCGGCGGAAUUACGGUUCUGAGCGAUGGCAGGGAAUUGGAUGUUGGAUUUGAAGUGAAAAAGGUGAAGAAGAUUGGUUCUUCACUAAGGAAAGUGUUUAUGAAGCUGUUCAUAUUGUGAUGGAUGAUGAGAAUGAAUGCGAUUGGUCGAGAAGUUAGGAAUAAUCAUAUGUCAAAGUGAGGAACCUCUUAUUAUGCCAUGAUUUGGAAUCAUCCUGUGUUGAUGAUUUGUUUGAGAAGUUUCAAGAAUUAGUCAGUGCCGGAAGUGGAAUUCAGUUACUGCUUGGUUCGAAAGAGCCUUUUGCUUGCUACCGUUCUUUGCAGGGAGUUGUGGCUUAGGUGGCUUGAUUCGAAAAGAGGAUGGUAGUUGGAUCAUUGGAUUUAAUGGUACUUUCUUCGAUAUUGUGGAUAAUACUUUUAUUGAACUUUAUGACAAUCUAUCACGGUUUGAAGAUUGCUAGAGACCUUGGUUAUGAUUGUAUUAUGUACUAUUAUAUUCAGACUCUCAAAUUAUUUUGGACCUCAUUUAUAAGGGCCGUAGUCCUUUCCGCUCUGCUAUGCGCAGUCAUUGCUACCAUUCGUGUUAUGUUGAAGUUGGAUUGAGAUGUCACACUCUGUCAUUCUCUAAGAUAAGGCAACUCUAGUGCAAUUUUGUUUACUAAAUUGAGUUCAAAUAAUGAUUCCAAUAUGUCAAUUUGAGAGUCUACUCUCGAAGACUUGAAAAGCAUUCUCAUUUCUGACACUCUAAAGGUGCUUCAUCGUAUAGUCCAUUGUAAAGUGGCCCAUUUGGUUUGGUGCGAGAUUCUUAAGUGAUUAUGUGUGAUGAUCGUGAUGCCGUCAAAUCUUUUUCAUCUCUUUGAUUGUUUUAGUGAUGUGGCACAAAC